AGUGCACAUACCUUGGUUUCCUUAGAAGGAAAAAAAGAUCUAUGUCAAAGUGUCCCAAAGAUAAGAAGCUGAAUGCUGCCAAGACAUUCUAGAGAGGGUUGGCCAAAAGAGGCAUCUAGGGUCACAACGGGAGAUGUUACCAAGGGCCCAGAGUUCUGGCUUCAAGUUCUCUGAGGUCACAUGAUGAGCUGAUUCUCUGGCCCCCAAAGUUCCAGUUACAAGUUCUAUGAGGCCAAAUGACAAUACAGCAGUGGUGUAGGCUUAGAGGUUUUUUGCCCCUACCUCUCACUUUCUGCCCUUUGGCAGCUUAUUCUGAAAUGGCCCUUCUCUACAGUUGGGCUAAAAUUUCUGCAAAUGGCAAAAGGACAGUGAACAUUAGCAGAGCACCUACUUGGGGUCAAGUGUUUUGUGCCCUCCUAGGCUCUAACUUGUACCGAGUGGGACAGAGCCCUGCAAUUCAUCCUCGCUCUCUUGGAACCCGAAGGCCACCAUGUUGUAAAGAAGUCCUUAAUAAAUACUUCAUGUAGAUGCCAAGCCAUACCAGUUGUCCAUGAACCCAGGCCCCAGGGAACCAGCCAGCUGCAUGAAUGAGCCCUGGAAAAACCAGCAGAACCACCUAACCAGCCCAAACAUUUGUGAGAAU